GAUGAACGCUGGCGGCGUGCCUAAUACAUGCAAGUCGAGCGAACGGACGAGAAGCUUGCUUCUCUGAUGUUAGCGGCGGACGGGUGAGUAACACGUGGAUAACCUACCUAUAAGACUGGGAUAACUUCGGGAAACCGGAGCUAAUACCGGAUAAUAUUUUGAACCGCAUGGUUCAAAAGUGAAAGACGGUCUUGCUGUCACUUAUAGAUGGAUCCGCGCUGCAUUAGCUAGUUGGUAAGGUAACGGCUUACCAAGGCAACGAUGCAUAGCCGACCUGAGAGGGUGAUCGGCCACACUGGAACUGGGACACGGUCCAGACUCCUACGGGAGGCAGCAGUAGGGAAUCUUCCGCAAAGGGCGAAAGCCUGACGGAGCAACGCCGCGUGAGUGAUGAAGGUCUUCGGAUCGUAAAACCCUGUUAUUAGGGAAGAACAUAUGUGUAAGUAACUGUGCACAUCUUGACGGUACCUAAUCAGAAAGCCACGGCUAACUACGUG
rnacentral:rRNA from 1 species